AUAUUAGUUGUUUGAUUUAAGACCAAACUUUUUGUUGAAACGUUCCACACGUCCAUCCGCAGCAGCGAAUUUUUGACGUCCAGUGUAGAAUGGAUGUGAAUCAGAUGAAAUAUCUAAACGAAUAACUGGGUAUUCUUUUCCAUCUUCCCACUCCAUCAUUUCUGA
rnacentral:sRNA from 1 species